rnacentral:rRNA from 1 species
CAACUUUUGACGGUGGAUCUCUUGGCUCACGCAUCGAUGAAGAACGCAGCCAGCUGCGAUAAGUAGUGUGAAUUGCAGAAUUCCGUGAAUCAUCGAAUCUUUGAACGCAAUUGGCGCUCUUGGGUUCUCCCAGGAGCAUGUCUGUCUGAGUGUCGGAU